rnacentral:rRNA from 3 species
AGAACGACUCUCGGCAACGGAUAUCUCGGCUCUCGCAUCGAUGAAGAACGUAGCGAAAUGCGAUACUUGGUGUGAAUUGCAGAAUCCCGUGAACCAUCGAGUCUUUGAACGCAAGUUGCGCCCGAAGCCACCAGGCCGAGGGCACGCCUGCCUGGGCGUCUCAC